UACGUAGGUGGCAAGCGUUGUCCGGAUUUACUGGGCGUAAAGAGCGCGCAGGCGGUCGUUCAAGUCGAGUGUGAAAGCCCCCCGGCUCAACUGGGGGAGGGUCACUCGAUACUGAUCGACUCGAAGGCAGAAGAGGGAAGCGGAAUUCCCGGUGUAGUGGUGAAAUGCGUAGAUAUCGGGAGGAACACCAGUGGCGAAGGCGGCUUUCUGGUCUGCUCUUGACGCUGAGGCGCGAAAGCUAGGGUAGCAAACGGG
rnacentral:rRNA from 1 species